AAAAAUAAGACAUAAGUUUGAGAAGUGUUGUUGUGGACAUGUUUAAAUGGAUAUAAAUUGGAAAUGUGUGAAAUUGAUUUAGAUAAUGCAUGAUGAGGGUUGAAAUGGAUACUUUUGUGCAUAAGAGUUAUGUUAGCAUGCUUGAUUGGAGAAAGAAAUUCCUCCCCUUGGUUUCCAUUAAGAGGUCGAACCACCUUAGUGUAGUAAAGCUUACUUAAUUAUUUUAUAUAUAUGACAUAAGUAUGAUUAUUUGAUAACUUUUAUAUGUUUAGAGUUUUAACAAAGAAAUGGGUAUUUAAGGUGUAUGUGCUUUGAAUUUGG
rnacentral:lncRNA from 1 species